rnacentral:rRNA from 1 species
AAAUUGAAGAGUUUGAUCAUGGCUCAGAUUGAACGCUGGCGGCAGGCCUAACACAUGCAAGUCGAACGGUAACAGGAAGCAGCUUGCUGCUUUGCUGACGAGUGGCGGACGGGUGAGUAAUGUCUGGGAAACUGCCCGAUGGAGGGGGAUAACUACUGGAAACGGUAGCUAAUACCGCAUAACGUCGCAAGA